GCCCUGAUGGUCUAGAGGUAUGAUUCUCCCUUCGGGAUUAAGCCGAGUGCCUUAGGCAUUCAAGAUUGGGAGAGGUCCCCGGUUCGACUCCGGGUUAGGGCC